AUUGAACGCUGGCGGCAGGCUUAACACAUGCAAGUCGAGCGGGGGAAGGUAGCUUGCUACCGGACCUAGCGGCGGACGGGUGAGUAAUGCUUAGGAAUCUGCCUAUUAGUGGGGGACAACAUCUCGAAAGGGAUGCUAAUACCGCAUACGUCCUACGGGAGAAAGCAGGGGAUCUUCGGACCUUGCGCUAAUAGAUGAGCCUAAGUCGGAUUAGCUAGUUGGUGGGGUAAAGGCCUACCAAGGCGACGAUCUGUAGCGGGUCUGAGAGGAUGCUCCGCCACACUGGGACUGCGACACGGCCCAGACUCCUACGGGAGGCAGCAGUGGGGAAUAUUGGACAAUGGGGGGAACCCUGAUCCAGCCAUGCCGCGUGUGUGAAGAAGGCCUUAUGGUUGUAAAGCACUUUAAGCGAGGAGGAGGCUACUCUAGUUAAUACCUAGGGAUAGUGGACGUUACUCGCAGAAUAAGCACCGGCUAACUCUGUGCCAGCCGCCGCGGUAA
rnacentral:rRNA from 1 species